CUCUCUCUCUCUCUCUCUCUCUCUCUCUCUCUCUCCGCCGCCGUUCCUUCCUAGCUCCUUCCCCUCGCGGACCUCCAGAUCUGGUAUCUCAGUGCCUCGAUCUGACGGCCCGGUGCCUAAAUCUAGCAGAAAAGUGCCCCGAUUUGGUGGAGGCCACGCAGAUCACGGGUGGCGGCGACUGCAUCUUCUCUCAUGACCCCUGGCCGUUUUUGUGGCUAGGGUGCACGAGCCAGCGACCAGGCAGGCCUACGCGUGCCCGCGCCUUCGCCUGUCCCUGCGGUGGCCAUGCCAGGAGGUUAGGGUGGGAUGGAUCUGCGCCCCCUCCCCCUGGUAGGUGCUGUCAGGUCAGAAGCGAGGUGUGCUUCUGGAGGACGCCGAGCCCAAUCUGCUGCCAUUGUCAGGAGAUCUGGUGAGCAACUCCUUCUCAUGCACUUCUAAUGCCCCAUGCCCAUGCGCUCGAUAGAUGGUUUUGCAUUGCUACACCUGGCGGGCUCCCGAUUGCAGGUUCCCCGAGCUCAUGGCCUCUCUAACUCAAUGAGUUAUGUCUGUGCGUAUGUUUUCAUUCUUCUCUAACCUCAAGUUGUCCGUUGAAAAAUAUUAAUAAGAGUGUGUUGUCUGAUUUAGGCAACGGUAUCAAGAUACAGAGCACAUGAAGGAUGCUCUUAUCUCUUUAUGAGAUGAAAGGAAGGCAAGGAUGACUGUGGAAUCUUUACGGGACUUUAUGGAGAUCUGAAUAGGUUAAAGUUGGAGGACAAACACCUUAGCGACUAGGUGUCCAGUCCAGUUAAGAUGCUUUAGGACAUAAAUAAGAGGCUUCAAGAAUAUAACACAAGCUUGCGGCAAUACAAUAUAUAGCUAUCUCCAAGCAGAUGCAACAAAGGAUGCUGAAACAAUAACAAAGCUGCAAAAGGUGAAGAAUACUAUCGAGUGAAUGAAUGGUCCGAAGGAUCAUGCUAAUUCACUAAAAAUACAACUAGACAUUGCAAAGUGGGAGGUGGUCUGUGGCAGCAAAGCUGCUGCGAACUGGGAAUGGACACUUGGCUUUCUAGGUGUCAAUGGUGCAAGCCAGGCUGCUGCUGGAAGCAGCCAUAUAGGAGUAGGCCUUUGUACAUCCACAUGCCUUGGUGGAUCACAAGAGGCCACAAUUAUGAUGGCAAUGGUACAUAUAUUGUAUUCAAUGUUGCUGAUAUACUAUUCAUUAGUGACCACAAUUCUCAGCAGUCUAUUGGACGCCA